rnacentral:tRNA from 1 species
GUCCUGGGUAGCCUAGUGGACAUGGCUUUUGCCUGGUAAGCGGAACACUGUGGGUUCGAUUCCCAUCCCUGGACA